UUAAGCGACUAAGCGUACACGGUGGAUGCCCUGGCAGUCAGAGGCGAUGAAGGACGUGCUAAUCUGCGAUAAGCGUCGGUAAGGUGAUAUGAACCGUUAUAACCGGCGAUUUCCGAAUGGGGAAACCCAGUGUGUUUCGACACACUAUCAUUAACUGAAUCCAUAGGUUAAUGAGGCGAACCGGGGGAACUGAAACAUCUAAGUACCCCGAGGAAAAGAAAUCAACCGAGAUUCCCCCAGUAGCGGCGAGCGAACGGGGAGCAGCCCAGAGCCUGAAUCAGUGUGUGUGUUAGUGGAAGCGUCUGGAAAGGCGCGCGAUACAGGGUGACAGCCCCGUACACAAAAAUGCACAUGCUGUGAGCUCGAUGAGUAGGGCGGGACACGUGGUAUCCUGUCUGAAUAUGGGGGGACCAUCCUCCAAGGCUAAAUACUCCUGACUGACCGAUAGUGAACCAGUACCGUGAGGGAAAGGCGAAAAGAACCCCGGCGAGGGGAGUGAAAAAGAACCUGAAACCGUGUACGUACAAGCAGUGGGAGCACGCUUAGGCGUGUGACUGCGUACCUUUUGUAUAAUGGGUCAGCGACUUAUAUUCUGUAGCAAGGUUAACCGAAUAGGGGAGCCGAAGGGAAACCGAGUCUUAACUGGGCGUUAAGUUGCAGGGUAUAGACCCGAAACCCGGUGAUCUAGCCAUGGGCAGGUUGAAGGUUGGGUAACACUAACUGGAGGACCGAACCGACUAAUGUUGAAAAAUUAGCGGAUGACUUGUGGCUGGGGGUGAAAGGCCAAUCAAACCGGGAGAUAGCUGGUUCUCCCCGAAAGCUAUUUAGGUAGCGCCUCGUGAAUUCAUCUCCGGGGGUAGAGCACUGUUUCGGCAAGGGGGUCAUCCCGACUUACCAACCCGAUGCAAACUGCGAAUACCGGAGAAUGUUAUCACGGGAGACACACGGCGGGUGCUAACGUCCGUCGUGAAGAGGGAAACAACCCAGACCGCCAGCUAAGGUCCCAAAGUCAUGGUUAAGUGGGAAACGAUGUGGGAAGGCCCAGACAGCCAGGAUGUUGGCUUAGAAGCAGCCAUCAUUUAAAGAAAGCGUAAUAGCUCACUGGUCGAGUCGGCCUGCGCGGAAGAUGUAACGGGGCUAAACCAUGCACCGAAGCUGCGGCAGCGACACUAUGUGUUGUUGGGUAGGGGAGCGUUCUGUAAGCCUGUGAAGGUGUGCUGUGAGGCAUGCUGGAGGUAUCAGAAGUGCGAAUGCUGACAUAAGUAACGAUAAAGCGGGUGAAAAGCCCGCUCGCCGGAAGACCAAGGGUUCCUGUCCAACGUUAAUCGGGGCAGGGUGAGUCGACCCCUAAGGCGAGGCCGAAAGGCGUAGUCGAUGGGAAACAGGUUAAUAUUCCUGUACUUGGUGUUACUGCGAAGGGGGGACGGAGAAGGCUAUGUUGGCCGGGCGACGGUUGUCCCGGUUUAAGCGUGUAGGCUGGUUUUCCAGGCAAAUCCGGAAAAUCAAGGCUGAGGCGUGAUGACGAGGCACUACGGUGCUGAAGCAACAAAUGCCCUGCUUCCAGGAAAAGCCUCUAAGCAUCAGGUAACAUCAAAUCGUACCCCAAACCGACACAGGUGGUCAGGUAGAGAAUACCAAGGCGCUUGAGAGAACUCGGGUGAAGGAACUAGGCAAAAUGGUGCCGUAACUUCGGGAGAAGGCACGCUGAUAUGUAGGUGAAGUCCCUUGCGGAUGGAGCUGAAAUCAGUCGAAGAUACCAGCUGGCUGCAACUGUUUAUUAAAAACACAGCACUGUGCAAACACGAAAGUGGACGUAUACGGUGUGACGCCUGCCCGGUGCCGGAAGGUUAAUUGAUGGGGUUAGCGCAAGCGAAGCUCUUGAUCGAAGCCCCGGUAAACGGCGGCCGUAACUAUAACGGUCCUAAGGUAGCGAAAUUCCUUGUCGGGU
rnacentral:rRNA from 1 species